rnacentral:rRNA from 1 species
UACAGAGGGUGCGAGCGUUGUCCGGAAUCACUGGGCGUAAAGGGCGCGUAGGCGGCCUCUCUUGUCGCGUGUGAAAGCCCCGGGCUCAACCGGGGAACUGCGUCUGAUACUGGCGGGCUUGAAUUCGGGAGAGGGAUGUGGAAUUCCAGGUGUAGCGGUGAAAUGCGUAGAUAUCUGGAGGAACACCGGUGGCGAAGGCGGCAUCCUGGACCGACAUUGACGCUGAGGCGCGAAAGCCAGGGGAGCAAAGCGGG